ACUGGGAUAACCCUGGGAAACUGGGGCUAAUACCGGAUAGGCAAUUAUUCCUGCAAUGGUUUUUUGUUUAAAUGUUUUUUCGCCUAAGGAUGGGUCUGCGGCCGAUUAGGUAGUUGGUUAGGUAAUGGCUUACCAAGCCGUUGAUCGGUACGGGUUGUGAGAGCAAGAGCCCGGAGAUGGAACCUGAGACAAGGUUCCAGGCCCUACGGGGUGCAGCAGGCGCGAAACCUCCGCAAUGUGAGAAAUCGCGACGGGGGGAUCCCAAGUGCCAUUCUUAACGGGAUGGCUUUUCAUUAGUGUAAAAAGCUUUUGGAAUAAGAGCUGGGCAAGACCGGUGCCAGCCGCCGCGGUAACACCGGCAGCUCUAGUGGUAGCAAUUUUUAUUGGGCCUAAAGCGUCCGUAGCCGGUUUAAUAAGUCUCUGGUGAAAUCCUGUAGCUUAACUGUGGGAAUUGCUGGAGAUACUAUUAGACUUGAGACCGGGAGAGGUUAGAGGUACUCCCAGGGUAGAGGUGAAAUUCUGUAAUCCUGGGAGGACCGCCUGUUGCGAAGGCGUCUAACUGGAACGGUUCUGACGGUGAGGGACGAAAGUUAGGGGCGCGAACCGGAUUUGAUACCCGGGUAGUCCUAACUGUAAACGAUGCGGACUUGGUGUUGGGGUGGCUUUGAGCUGCUCCAGUGCCGAAGGGAAGCUGUUAAGUCCGCCGCCUGGGAAGUACGGUCGCAAGACUGAAACUUAA
rnacentral:rRNA from 1 species